UGCAAAAGGUUUCCACAGGAUCAUUGAACUUUAAAAAUUAUCCCAUUUAUCACUCACUCAGUGACCCCUAGGAAAUUUUUUGCAAGGUUCAAUGAUCCCGUGGAAAUCUUUUGC
rnacentral:miRNA from 1 species